CAAAGAAAAUACAAGACAGAUCACCUGGACUAAAGACAGAUUUUUGUUUGCUUAUUUAGUCUCAACAAAUCAGACUUUUUCAAAUUUCACCUCACCCAGACUGAGAAUAGACCAAAACUUUCCUUCAGUGCUGAAUGUUUCUGAUGCUCAGCAUGAAGAUGCAGGACUCUAUAAAUGUGAUGUAACUACAAUUGGUGGCCCAAUGACUACUCAGUGGAAUUUAACAGUGUCAGGGAAACCUGAAGAAGUCAGUUCUUCGUGGUAUUUUCCAUACAUACUCGCAGCUGUAAUUGGAUUACUUCUUUGUGGCAUCGCUCCAGCUGUCUGCCUCUGCAGAAAAAAACAGACCAAGACCCUGAACCAGGACUUAGUGGACAGCAGGACCCUGAGUCAUGUCCAGUACUGUGUCCAGAGAGAGGGAGGACAGGUUUGAAGAACU